GGUGGAUUGAUUGAAUUUGCGUAGGCGGAAGUCCAGCGCAGGCGCAGCAAUGCGGCUGAGAGAAAAGAGUAGUUAUUUUGAGAUCGCUUUCUCUCUCUCCUCCUGUUUAGCUUUUGCACAGUGGAAGCGCUCCGUGGAGAGGCGAGGAGAGCAGUGAUCGUGAGAUUUCUACUCAGCUGACGAUCUGAGCCGUGAGAUGCGUGGACUUUUUGCGGUUUGACCAGAGGUUUUUGAACAGAUUACAGGAGAAGAAGGAUUGGAA